GGGAAGGAUCUCAAGCUUUGUCGGACUUCAGGAAAGACACCUUGCACUCAACAGGAAUGCAGCAAGUCCUGAACAUUCCGCUGGAAUUGGAGGGAUAAGGAGGAAUGAACAUGAAGCGGAGCGACCCCAUAUGGGCAGGACCACCACGGUAUCCUGGUAUCAAGGAACAAACAGGAAAAACUCCUGAUGAGAAAUAAGCCAGACAACAGGAUACAUGUACACACAUGUGGAACCUGGAUGUAAUGGCUGAGAUCUGUCAUUUGCAGUAGCGCACGGAUCACCCUGGAAUAAAUUAAUGGCAUUUGCUUUCAACACCCAUGUCUACAAAUCUGCAAGUGAGAAGGAAAUGUGUGAAACUUCAAACCCAGACAUGGCUGCAUUUAAAAACAACAUUCUUUGUUUUGUUGGUUUUUUUUAAUUAGAUAUUUUUCUUAUUUACUUUUCAAAUGUUAUCCCCUUUCCUGGUCUGCCCCCCCAUAUCAUAUUAUUGCCCACCCCCUAACCCC
rnacentral:lncRNA from 1 species